UUGAACAUAAUAGACACCAGAGUGUAAGCUUAGCUUUAUUGGUUGAAUCCUGUUAAAGUGCCUUAAAAUUAUAUGUUUGCAUCUAACUUGAACACUCAAAAUAGAAUGUCUUGAUAAACAAAUUCAGAGUGAGUCAUGUGUCAUGUGUGUGAGUUUUUACUAUAUUCCAUGAUUUACAUUUGAUGCCUAGAACUUGCCCUGUGUAUUUGCAAAGCAAAAUUGUAGUUUUCUUCAGUUUUAGAAGUGAUAUGGAUAUUUCUUUAUUUAGACAGACAUAUAACGUAAACCCACCUGAAUGCAAUACAUCUUAGUUAACCUCG
rnacentral:lncRNA from 1 species